rnacentral:tRNA from 1 species
GGGGUUGUGGCUUAGUGGUAGAGCACAUGGCUUACUUAGCAUGUAUGAGGCACUGGGUUCGAUCCUCAGCACCACA